rnacentral:rRNA from 1 species
AGUAAGGAAUAUUGGGCAAUGGACGCAAGUCUGACCCAGCCAUGCCGCGUGAAGGAUGACGGUCCUCUGGAUUGUAAACUUCUUUUAUCUGGGGCGAAAACCACCCUUUCUAGGGUAUUUGACAGUACCAGAUGAAUAAGCACCGGCUAACUCCGUGCCAGCAGCCGCGGUAAUACGGAGGGUGCAAGCGUUAUCCGGAUUCACUGGGUUUAAAGGGUGCGUAGGCGGGCAGGUAAGUCAGUGGUGAAAUCUUCGAGCUUAACUCGGAAACUGCCGUUGAUACUAUCUGUCUUGAAUUUAGUGGAGGUAAGCGGAAUAUGUCAUGUAGCGGUGAAAUGCUUAGAUAUGACAUAGAACACCAAUUGCGAAGGCAGCUUGCUACACUAUUAUUGACGCUGAGGCACGAAAGCGUGGGGAUCAAA